AACGAACGCUGGCGGCAGGCCUAACACAUGCAAGUCGAGCGCCCUUUCGGGGGAGCGGCGGACGGGUGAGUAACGCGUGGGAAUAUGCCCUUCUCUACGGAAUAGCCUCGGGAAACUGAGAGUAAUACCGUAUACGCCCUGUGGGGGAAAGAUUUAUCGGGGAAGGAUUAGCCCGCGUUGGAUUAGGUAGUUGGUGGGGUAAUGGCCUACCAAGCCGACGAUCCAUAGCUGGUUUGAGAGGAUGAUCAGCCACACUGGGACUGAGACACGGCCCAGACUCCUACGGGAGGCAGCAGUGAGGAAUCUUAGACAAUGGGGGCAACCCUGAUCUAGCCAUGCCGCGUGAGUGAUGAAGGCCUUAGGGUUGUAAAGCUCUUUCAGCUGGGAAGAUAAUGACGGUACCAGCAGAAGAAGCCCCGGCUAACUCCGUG
rnacentral:rRNA from 1 species